UACGAAGGGGGCUAGCGUUGCUCGGAAUCACUGGGCGUAAAGGGUGCGUAGGCGGGCCUUUAAGUCAGGGGUGAAAUCCUGGAGCUCAACUCCAGAACUGCCUUUGAUACUGAGGAUCUUGAGUCCGGGAGAGGUGAGUGGAACUGCGAGUGUAGAGGUGAAAUUCGUAGAUAUUCGCAAGAACACCAGUGGCGAAGGCGGCUCACUGGCCCGGUACUGACGCUGAGGCACGAAAGCUAGGGGAGCGAACAGG
rnacentral:rRNA from 1 species